CAGAGGAGGACUUUAAUGAUUGGUGCCAGCAAAUCAAAAAGCUGUCCAUGGUAAGAGGAGCGCUGCCAAUGUUUGAACUGGUCGAACGCCAGCCGUCACAUUUCUCCAACCCCGAUGUCCUGAAUCUCACACCAGACUCCUCUGACGCUGACAGAUUGGAAAGGUUCUUUGACUCAGAAGAUGAAGACUUCGAAAUCCUGUCCCUUUGAAAACAAACAGGAAACUGACUCUGCAACUUUGUGUUAUGUGUGGGGGAGAAGGGGGGGAGGGAAGCUCCUUAGAGAGCCUGGGGCUACUGGUUUCCAUAGGUGCUUGCUGCCAUCCCCGCCUCUUGUCCAUCCUGGCAUUCUGUGCAGCCUCGGAGUGAAGUGCGCAUUGUCUGCGUUGGGAUGAAGAACCAAGUGGGUGUUACAGCCUUACUGGUUGGAGGAGUCAGAAUUUCUCAGCAGAAAGCAGUUGCUGGAAGUGGAUGGAGUGGUGCUUGGGACUUCAAAGCCUAUCUGUCACAUCAGCAGGUCAGUUGGCCUUCUGGGGGAGGCAUAGAAAUCGUUAGAGCGCUAAAUCCUUACAUGGCGACUCCCCUCUGAAGCUUAAAUAGAGCCACCCAUCAUUUAGCAGAUGAUAUGUACAGUUAAUUCCUUUAGCAGCUUAUUUUCUCACUGGCCAACUUGGACUGCAGCUCACAACUCAAAUGAACAGCAGAUGUGUCCUAACAAGCCAGCUGUGAAGCC